CUGAGGAGGCUGCGAGCUGGGACAGUUGGUGCAGCCGCGUUUCUGUAGGCACGAUGCUGUAGAAGUGUCUGAGGGGGGGGUCUCGCACACUGAUGCUCUGCUUUUCUUGCUCGUCUGGGGUCCUGCAUCCUUUGGGUGGGACCAGGCUUUGAAGAGAGGUGUUGAAACAGAGCGAGAGGCAAUGCUUUACCCCAGGUCCUGCCUCUGCUGGACCAGCGAUGGAUGCUGCAGCCCCAGCAGCCGUCUCGCUCCCCCCAGCACUUCCCAGGCUGCUGCCAUCACCGGAGCCGUCGGUGGGAGGCACGGGGUGUCUGUAGGCCCCCCGCUCCGAAUCACCUGCUCAGCCCUUCAAUUGCCGGGACUUGCAGCUGCCUAAGCUGUGUUUACCCUUCCCCGCUCCUUUCUUCUCCCUUCUCCCCAGGCAGAUUAAAGCCAGACAAGAAAGGGCAGAGACGCAGCUCCCCCUCGACAAGUCGCUGCAGAAGGGAGACCCUGGAGGGUUAGCAGGGCAAAGCCUUUUGCAGCAGAGCAAAGCCUUUUGCUCGACUGAAGCCAGGAGAGAAGUGCCGGGUCUGCUCUAGCCCAGUACGUCAGACAGCUGAGCCGGACCCAAAGCGGUCCCUACGAGUUUUAUGGCCCAACCAAACAUCCAGGCUGGCCCCUCCAGAGCCACGUCCCGUCCCAGCAGCAGGAUCACGCCUGCAGCACCGUCCACGUGCUCUCCCCGGGUUUCAGCGCGCCUGCGUGGGUGGCAGCGGGAGCAGCCUCUGGGGGCUGGCUGCGGCUCUGCCUGCAGGAGAGCAGCUUGGGAGGCAGCCUGGGCUUCAGAAGGAACAAAACUUUUGCUGGAAAUAAGGCUUUCCCCUCCGAUUUAUUUUCCUUGUCGUGAAGGCAUCGUGGUCGAUUCCGUUGAAGGAAGUGAAAGGCAGUUUCAGUCCAUGUUCUUAAAACCUCUGGAUUGGUUUUGAGUCCAGUCAAAGGGCAAAAGUUCUCAUUUGGUUUUUAUUUCAAACCUCUCCUGCCCCAUUUGUCUGCCUGGAGAGCCAAACCCCCAGAGCACCUAGCUCCAAGGAGGGGAAUAUUUUGCACGUGGGCCAAUUCGUGUUCGUUUCAAGGCUGUUUUUACUUGCUGUAGGCAAAUGUCACUGGGCUCUUUCUGGUGUCGCCUCGCUGUUCCCCAGCAGUUUCCUGAAGAAGCAGUAGGAAGCCGAACAUAGCUCUGGAGGCAGAGCGGGAGGAGGUGGGCAGCCCGCAGCGAGGGCGGUGCAGGCAGGGCGGCUGGGGAGGGAGAGGCUGCCCCGUCGGGGAGCCCUUGUUGCAGCCUGUAGGGCCGGCUGGGGCCGGCUGCGUGAUCCUCCCACGGUCAGGAGCCAUCAGCAGCAGCGUGGCUAAAGGCGGAGGCAGAUUUGACGGCACGCUCGUUUCACUACACGGGGAACGUCUGAUCCCAGGCACGCCGAUUUCACAGCAUUUAGCCGCACAUUUCCCGGGCAGCAGUUCUGCAAGUGCGGGUUUGGUGCUGCUUUGUGUUCCCUUAUCAGAUGGAGAGCGAGAAAACAUCUGACACCAACACCGGGGCAGAGUGGGAGGAGAGGGAGAGUUUUAAGUCCUUGGUCGAGUUGGUGGGAGCUGUUUCCCUCGCUGAUUAUGAACUCCCUGUUGUAGCUUGGCUGGGUUUUGGUUGCAGGGAGCAUGGCCGGGCUCUCACUGCCUCCAGGAUGGCCAAAGAGGACCAAAAGGGCCCUGGGAGCAGGAGAGACCCCACAGGAGAGGGCCCAGCCUCAUUCAGCCUCCUCUCCCAACGCGCCCAUCCUCGUACCUGGUAGUGGGUCAAACCUGGGAGCCGUGACUCAGCCUGAACUUUCAGUGGCUUUUGCACCUGGCGAUUUAAAUAUCUGUCUGCAGGGGAGGUGAGCACCAAACGGCAUCCCUGGGUACCUCCUUGAAAGGUUUCCUUCCCCUUUCUCCCCUCCAGCUGCUUGCUAUCUCCCUCCUGCCGCUGCCUCCCGCCUCCAACCCCAGCUCAGCAGAAUGGGACACGAGUGCUCCCACCUCAACUACUUCGGUGCAAGGGCCGGCAGCAGCCUCCUUUCAGCUCCUUGGGGAAAGGGGCUUUAGGGAAAGCUGCCAGACUUUGCCCAGGAGCCACGGAGGAGAGCACGGGGGGAUAUUCCACCAGCAGCAGGAGCCUCGGGCGCAAGAGAGCAGCCAAAGGAGCCGCCGGGGGUGGCGGUGGCGGUGCCGAUAACAUCUGGACCCACCCGAGGAGAGCGCAUCUCCCGGUGCUCUCUUCAGCCAGUGGUGUUUUUUAACGCAGGGUGCAGCCUAGGAAAAAAAACAAACUGGAACACCCUGUCUGAACUGCAGGCUUCUCCUGCAUGCGACGUAGCAAGACCUUGAAGAAAGCCAGUUGUGCCCCAAAUUCAGCCUGUUGUUUUUCCGGCUCUGUCGGUUGGCCUGAUAAAAGUGACAGCCUCUCCCUGUAAACUCCGUCUGCCUCGGAUCCACGCUCAUUUUUUGGAUGUUGGUUCCUCAUCAGCAAUCAGAAAGCACGAGCCCGUCCCUUGCUGCAGCAGCACGAGGCAGAAUUUAAGGUGGUCAGGUAUUGAAGAAGAGGGGAGGGAAGGCUGCAAGGGUUUUUGGAGAAAGAGGGGUGCCUGUGGGAGGAACGGACCCUAGAUUUCCAGCGUGCCUUUGUCGAGCACGCACACGGAGGGAGUUGUCCCUGCCCCUUGUUCCCACAGGCGUUGCUGUCACUUUGGCACCUCCUUCUAGGGUUCCCACUUUUGUCACCUGCUUGUGAAUUUUUGGGGCAAUUGUCACUGGAACCCGGCCACAGGGGAGUGCCCCAGGGCUUGGGGACCCCGGGGGGCUGAGCUGAUUUGGAAGCAGCUCCUGAAACGCUGCCAUUCAUCACCUGCUGGUUCGAAGCUCAUUCCAGUUGCCUUUCAAGAGCCAUGCUGUCAGCCUGGCGUGGGCAAUACGUGCUGGAUCUACCAGAGCCAGCUGUGAAUUAGGCUUGGCGAGGUGUAAAGGACUGGCCAGGUCGGCUUGGCAGGAAGGUGGCGAGGGAGGGCACAUGGACAGCGUGCCGAGACCUUCCCUCGGAGAUCUCCCACCUCCAGCAAUGUCCACUGAGAAGCCUCCUGAGCAAGGUGCCGGCCCUGCCUCCCCGUGCAUGGAUAUCCAGGGUGGUUUGAGUCCUUGUGGCUUUGGCAC